AGUGAACGCUGGCGGUAGGCCUAACACAUGCAAGUCGAACGGCAGCACAGUAAGCGCUUGCUCUUACGGGUGGCGAGUGGCGGACGGGUGAGGAAUACAUCGGAAUCUACUUUUUCGUGGAGGAUAACGUAGGGAAACUUACGCUAAUACCGCAUACGACCUACGGGUGAAAGCAGGGGAUCUUCGGACCUUGCGCGAUUGAAUUAGCCGAUGUCGGAUUAGCUAGUUGGCUGGGUAAAGGCCCACCAAGGCGACGAUCCGUAGCUGGUCUGAGAGGAUGAUCAGCCACACUGGAACUGAGACACGGUCCAGACUCCUACGGGAGGCAGCAGUGGGGAAUAUUCGACAAUGGGCGCAAGCCUGAUCCAGCAAUACCGCGUGGGUGAAGAAGGCCUUCGGGUUGUAAAGCCCUUUUGUUGGGAAAGAAAAGCAGCAGGUUAAUACCCCGCUGUUCUGACGGUACCCAAAGAAUAAGCACCGGCUAACUUCGUG
rnacentral:rRNA from 1 species